rnacentral:lncRNA from 1 species
CCUCUUUUUCUUCUUCUUCUUCUCCUUCUUCUUCCUUUCUUUUUUCCCUCCCUCCUUCCGCCGCCUGCACCCCUCCAGCCGCCAUCGCUCCUCCUUUUCCCUCCCUCGCCAACGCUGCUCUCCUUCCUCCCUUUCCCCCCUUGCUGCCGACGUUAAGCGUAGGAAAGAGGAGUUGCCGCCGCCGAACCACCCACUUGCCGCUGUCCUUUCACCAAUCUGACACCGGAAUCGAGCUCCCCGCUAUCGAAAACUCCUGAGCUGAGCUUCCUCCGCUGGUUUUUCCCCGCCGGCAGCAGUGUUCAGCCUCGCCAGAUCAGA